UUUCCGUAGGUGAACCUGCGGAAGGAUCAUUCAUAAUAAAGUGUUUUAUGGCACUUUUUAAAAAUCCAUAUCCACCUUGUGUGCAAUGUUAGAUCUCGUCAAUCUUGGUGAGAUUUUUAUACAUCAACUCAUUCUUUAACUAAUUUGUCUGAAAAAUAUUAUGAAUACUUAAUUCAAAAUACAACUUUCAACAACGGAUCUCUUGGCCCUCGCAUCGAUGAGAACGCAGC
rnacentral:misc_RNA from 1 species